rnacentral:rRNA from 1 species
GACGGGGGGGGCAAGUGUUCUUCGGAAUGACUGGGCGUAAAGGGCACGUAGGCGGUGAAUCGGGUUGAAAGUGAAAGUCGCCAAAAAGUGGCGGAAUGCUCUCGAAACCAGUUCACUUGAGUGAGACAGAGGAGAGUGGAAUUUCGUGUGUAGGGGUGAAAUGCAUAGAUAUCAGGAGGAACACCAGCGGCGAAGGCGGCACUCUGGGCUGGAACUGACGCUGAGGAGCGAAAGCGUGGGGAGCGAACAGG